AGGGUUUGAUCCUGGCUCAGAUUGAACGCUGGCGGCAUGCCUUACACAUGCAAGUCGAACGGUAACGCGGGGGCAACCCUGGCGACGAGUGGCGAACGGGUGAGUAAUACAUCGGAACAUAUCCAGUAGCGGGGGAUAACCUAUCGAAAGAUGGACUAAUACCGCAUACGAUCUACGGAUGAAAGCAGGGGACCGCAAGGCCUUGCACUAUUGGAGUGGCCGAUGUCGGAUUAGCUAGUUGGUGGGGUAAAAGCUUACCAAGGCGACGAUCCGUAGCUGGUCUGAGAGGACGAUCAGCCACACUGGAACUGAGACACGGUCCAGACUCCUACGGGAGGCAGCAGUGGGGAAUUUUGGACAAUGGGCGCAAGCCUGAUCCAGCCAUGCCGCGUGAGUGAAGAAGGCCUUCGGGUUGUAAAGCUCUUUCGGUGAAGACGAAACGGUUAGCGCUAAUAACGCUGACUAAUGACGGUACUCACAGAAGAAGCACCGGCUAACUACGUGCCAGCAGCCGCGGUAAUACGUAGGGUGCAGGCGUUAAUCGGAAUUACUGGGCGUAAAGCGUGCGCAGGCGGUUUGCUAAGACAGGUGUGAAAUCCCCGAGCUUAACUUGGGAAUUGCGCUUGUAACUGGCAGGCUAGAGUGUAGCAGAAGGGGGGGUGGAAUUCCACGUGUAGCAGUGAAAUGCGUAGAUAUGUGGAGGAACACCGAUGGCGAAGGCAGCCCCCUGGGUUAACACUGACGCUCAUGCACGAAAGCGUGGGGAGCAAACAGGAUUAGAUACCCUGGUAGUCCACGCCCUAAACUAUGUCAACUAGUUGUCGGGGAAGAAAUUCCUUGGUAACGAAGCUAACGCGUGAAGUUGACCGCCUGGGGAGUACGGCCGCAAGGUUAAAACUCAAAGGAAUUGACGGGGACCCGCACAAGCGGUGGAUUAUGUGGAUUAAUUCGAUGCAACGCGAAAAACCUUACCUACCCUUGACAUGCUAGGAAGCCCGCAGAGAUGUGGGUGUGCCCGAAAGGGAACCUAGACACAGGUGCUGCAUGGCUGUCGUCGGCUCGUGUCGUGAGAUGUUGGGUUAAGUCCCGCAACGAGCGCAACCCUUGCCAUUAGUUGCUACAUUCAGUUGGGCACUCUAAUGGGACCGCCGGUGACAAACCGGAGGAAGGUGGGGAUGACGUCAAGUCCUCAUGGCCCUUAUGGGUAGGGCUUCACACGUAAUACAAUGGUCGGUACAGAGGGCUGCCAACCCGCAAGGGGGAGCUAAUCCCAGAAAGCCGAUCGUAGUCCGGAUUGUAGUCUGCAACUCGACUGCAUGAAGCCGGAAUCGCUAGUAAUCGCGGAUCAGCAUGUCGCGGUGAAUACGUUCCCGGGCCUUGUACACUCCGCCC
rnacentral:rRNA from 1 species